AUGAUGCUCCGGCUUCUCCAGCUGCUCAAGCCGUGGUUCGGCAGCCUCCACCCGCUCCUGCAGUUUCAGAUGGUGCUGAGCACCUCCUCCAAGGCCAGAGGACGUCCAGAUGGUUCUUGGAGCACACUUGAGCCCACUCUGGCCGACAAUAUGGUUGGCGGAAACCAGAUGCUUACCAGUUCCUCGAAAAGCUUCCCCGGUCACGCAAUUCGUGAUCCUCCCCGCAGAUUAAUGGCGUUUAUGCCGCACUCCCAGCUGGUGCUGCUCGUGUCGCAGCAGGGGAAGCGACCUUGGAAUUAUCUUGGGAGCUCAAGAAUGUUUCCUAAGCACCCGACUCAUGAAUCCGGACAUCCUUCAAGAAGAAAGGCGCAGCCUGCAAUAUCAUGA
rnacentral:rRNA from 1 species